UUCCGGUUGAUCCUGCCGGACCUGACUGCUAUCGGAUUGGUACUAAGCCAUGUGAGUCGUUGUAGCAAUACAAGGCAUACGGCUCAGUAACACGUAGUCAAUCUAACCUAUGGACGGGGAUAACCUCGGGAAACUGAGGAUAAACCCCGAUAGAUCAUUAUGCCUGGAACGGUUUAUGGUCUAAAUGAUUCGUCGCCGUAGGGUGGGACUGCGGCCUAUCAGUUUGUUGGUGAGGUAAUGGCCCACCAAGACUAUUACAGGUACGGGCUCUGAGAGGAGAAGCCCGGAGAUGGGUACUGAGACACGGACCCAGGCCCUAUGGGGCGCAGCAGGCGAGAAACCUUUGCAAUGUGCGCAAGCACGACAAGGUUAAUCCGAGUGUUUCCUGCUAAAGGAAUCUUUUGUUAGUUGUAAAACCACUGAUGAAUAAGGGGUGGGCAAGUUCUGGUGUCAGCCGCCGCGGUAAAACCAGCACCUCAAGUGGUCAGGAUGAUUAUUGGGCCUAAAGCAUCCGUAGCCUGUUCUGUAAGUUUCCGGUUAAAUCCAUUAGCUCAACUAAUGGGCUGCCGAAAAUACUGCAGAACUAGGGAGUGGGAGAGGUAGACGGUACUCGGUAGGAAGGGGUAAAAUCCUUUGAUCUAUUGAUGACCACCUGUGGCGAAGGCGGUCUACCAGAACACGUUCGACGGUGAGGGAUGAAAGCUGGGGGAGCAAACCGGAUUAGAUACCCGGGUAGUCCCAGCUGUAAACGAUGCAGACUCGGUGAUGCCCUGGCUUGUGGCCAGUGCAGUGCCGCAGGGAAGCCGUUAAGUUUGCCGCCUGGGAAGUACGUACGCAAGUAUGAAACUUAAAGGAAUUGGCGGGGCAGCAC
rnacentral:rRNA from 1 species